rnacentral:lncRNA from 1 species
AUGGUUUAUUACUGUGUUUGUGGCGGGUGCAAGAACUCCAGCAAAACUGGACAUAGGGUCCAUUGUUUCCCCAAGGACAAAGGAAUCUUCCGAAGCUGGGUGCAAUUUGUCAAGAUUAGGCGGGCAGAUUUUUCAUCUAGCUCUGUCACCGCCUACUCGAGAAUAUGCAGCGCGCAUUUCAAGGAGGAGGAUUACCACUCAGGGGAUGCCAAGAUGGUCGCACUUUCUUUAAAAAGUAUGAGGAUGGCUAAGUUAAUUCCUACCGCCGUGCCGUCUGUGAAUGCAAACCUCUCUGCUUGUCCUGUCCCGAGGUCGAGAGACACCGUCUGCCGCAAGCGAUAUAUUGCCACGAUGAUGACAGAUACCUCACAGCAGGAGACCGUGGACAGUGUAGACACUGUGGAGAGUGUCGAUACUGGCGAUCAGCCCUUGUCCUCCUCCACUUCUGACACUGUGACACAGUGUUAUUUGAAGCCCCCCCGAUGGUCUCGCGCUGUGCAGGUUAACCUGAAGCCCAAGAUGGUCAGCGUGGGUACACAGACGUCUUUCAGCCCACAAACCUCCACUCCCCUCGCUAGUCCUGAACAGACAGAUGAUGAAGAUGAUGAUAAUGCCUCUGUCGUUAGUGACUUAUCAUGGGUGCCCGAAGAGCCGAUGCAUGAGGAGGACUUGUUUGAUGAGGAGCCACCUUACGCGUGUGACCCCCACCACAAGUGA